AUUGAACGCUGGCGGCAGGCCUAACACAUGCAAGUCGAACGAGUGGCGGACGGGUGAGUAAUGUCUGGGAAACUGCCCGAUGGAGGGGGAUAACUACUGGAAACGGUAGCUAAUACCGCAUACCAUCGGAUGUUCCCAGAUGGGAUUAGCUAGUAGGUGGGGUAACGGCUCACCUCGGCGACGAUCCCUAGCUGGUCUGAGAGGAUGACUAGCAACACUGGAACGGAGACACGGACCAGACGCCUACGGGAGGAAGCAGUGGGGAAGAUUGCACAAUGGGCGCAAGCCGGAUGCAGCCAUGCCGCGUGUAUGAAGAAGGCCUGCGGGUUGUAAAGUAGUUUCAGCGAGGAGGCGUUACUCGCAGAAGAAGCACAGGCUAACGCCGUGCCAGCAGCCGCGGUAAUUC
rnacentral:rRNA from 1 species